UGAGUCUUCUGAAUUUGAUGGCAGGUACGAAUCACAGUCACAGAACAACAAAUUGAAAUCUAAAGAUCAAAGUUUAAAGGCUAGCAGCAGAAGAAGAUCGAUCUCAUGUAUUUAAAGGUUCACUGUAAAGGUUAACUUCAGAUCUCGUGUUUGAAUUUCGGAUUUCAUCUUCUUACAGUUACAAUCAAAAUCUACCGAGAAUACUCAUACCAGCAGAUGAAAUACUAGCCUUUUUUCCCCAAUUCUAAUUUUAUUGUUGGUAAU